GCCGGGCGCAGUGGCACGCGCCUGUAGUCCCAGCUACUUGGGAGGCUGAGGCUGCAGGAUCGCUUGAGCUCAGGAGUUGUGGGCUGCAGUGCGCUAUGCCGAUCAGGUGCCUGCACUAAGUUCGGCAUCAAUAUGGUGACCUCCCGGGAGCGGGGGACCACCAGGUUGCCUAAGGAGGGGUGAACCGGCCCAGGUCGGAAACGGAGCAGGUCAAAACUCCCGUGCUGAUCAGUAGUGGGAUCGCGCCUGUGAAUAGCCACUGUACUCCAGCCUGGGCAACAUAGCAACACCACGUCU
rnacentral:SRP_RNA from 1 species